AAUGAACGCUGGCGGCGUGCUUAACACAUGCAAGUCGAGCGAGAAAGUCGGCUUCGGCCGGCGAGUAAAGCGGCGAACGGGUGAGUAACACGUGGGUAACCUGCCUGGGAGCGGGGGAUAACCUCGGGAAACUGGGGCUAAUACCGCAUACGCUCCGAGGGCUUCGGCUCAAGGAGGAAAGCUGGCCUCUACGCGUAAGCUGGCACUCCCAGAGGGGCCCGCGUUCGAUUAGCUUGUUGGUGGGGUAACGGCCUACCAAGGCGACGAUCGAUAGCCGGCCUGAGAGGGUGAUCGGCCACACUGGGACUGAGACACGGCCCAGACUCCUACGGGAGGCAGCAGUGGGGAAUAUUGGACAAUGGGCGCAAGCCUGAUCCAGCAACGCCGCGUGGAGGAUGAAGGCUUUCGGGUCGUAAACUCCUGUCAGGUGGGACGAAAAGGCGUCGAUUAAUAACCGGCGCUGCUGACGGUACCACCAGAGGAAGCCCCGGCUAACUCCGUG
rnacentral:rRNA from 1 species